GGUGGCUGUCAAUAGAUUGGCCCAAAAGGAAGAACAAGGAAAAGGGCACCAAAGAAGAUAAAUGAAAAUACAAGGGUAUAAGCUGAACUGUGGACAUCCUGCCACUGGGAAUUAAGUUAAAGUAGAAAAAAGCAGAAUGUAAUGGGGAGUCCCCUCACAAGAAGAAUUUGGAUCAAAGCAUGGCAGUGAGGGGAAGCAUUGAGCAGGAAACCAUGAGACCAAAAUUUAAAAGCCAGAGCUUCCUGACUCCAAAAUCCUCUUUCUUUCCUGUUAUCCUGCUGAAGUGCCGAUUUCAAAUGAAGACUGACUUGAUCCUGAACAUAACCUACAAGAAGAAAGGGACCACAGGCUAUACACAAAGCAUGGUGCCGGCAUCUGCUUCUGGUGAGGGCCUCAGGAAGCUUACAAUCAUCAUGGAAGGUGAAGAGGAAGCCAGUGCAUCACAUGGCAAGAGAGGGAGCAAGAGAGAAGGGGACAGUGCCGCACACUUUAAAAAAAAAACCUUAUCUCACGAGGCAGAACUAACUGAGUGAGAGUUCACUCAUCACCAAGGGAAUGGUGCUAAGUCAUUCAUGAGGGA
rnacentral:lncRNA from 1 species